GAAAAAUGCUACUUGUGCACGGAACUGGAGAUGAUCUAUCCGGAUGAAGGCCAUACAUUCUCCCAGAGUUCUAACCAGCACCAUCUCCACCAGACGCUUGUCUCCUUCUUUCAGCNUUGCUUUGAGGACUCUGAGUGGCUCCAUCUACCAGCUGAAGAAGACUCCUAGUGCU
rnacentral:lncRNA from 1 species